rnacentral:rRNA from 1 species
AACGAACGCUGGCGGCAUGCCUAACACAUGCAAGUCGAACGAGACCUUCGGGUCUAGUGGCGCACGGGUGCGUAACGCGUGGGAACCUGCCCUUAGGUUCGGAAUAACUCCCCGACAGGGGUGCUAAUACCGGAUAAUGUCUUCGGACCAAAGAUUUAUCGCCUUUGGAUGGUCCCGCGUUGGAUUAGCUAGUUGGUAGGGUAAAAGCCUACCAAGGCGACGAUCCAUAGCUGGUCUGAGAGGAUGAUCAGCCACACUGGGACUGAGACACGGCCCAGACUCCUACGCGAGGCAGCAGUGGGGAAUAUUGGAACAUGGGGGAAAGCAUGAUCCAGCAAUGCCGCGUGAGUGAUGAAGGCCUUAGGGUUGUAAAGCUCUUUUACCCGGGAUGAUAAUGACAGUACCGAGAGAAUAAGCUCCGGCUAACUCCGUG